rnacentral:rRNA from 1 species
AGUGAACGCUGGCGGUAGGCCUAACACAUGCAAGUCGAACGGCAGCACAGUAAGAGCUUGCUCUUACGGGUGGCGAGUGGCGGACGGGUGAGGAAUACAUCGGAAUCUACUUUUUCGUGGGGGAUCACGUGGGGAAACUUACGCUAAUACCGCAUACGACCUACGGGUGAAAGCAGGGGAUCUUCGGACCUUGCGCGAUUGAAUGAGCCGAUGUCGGAUUAGCUAGUUGGCGGGGUAAAGGCCCACCAAGGCGACGAUCCGUAGCUGGUCUGAGAGGAUGAUCAGCCACACUGGAACUGAGACACGGUCCAGACUCCUACGGGAGGCAGCAGUGGGGAAUAUUGGACAAUGGGCGCAAGCCUGAUCCAGCCAUACCGCGUGGGUGAAGAAGGCCUUCGGGUUGUAAAGCCCUUUUGUUGGGAAAGAAAAGCAGCAGGUUAAUACCCCGCUGUUCUGACGGUACCCAAAGAAUAAGCACCGGCUAACUUCGUG